CCUACGGGUGGCUGCAGUGAGGAAUAUUGGUCAAUGGGCGGAAGCCUGAACCAGCCAAGUAGCGUGCGGGAUGACGGCCCUACGGGUCGUAAACCGCUUUUGCACGGGGAUAACACCCUCCACUUGUGGAGGUCUGCAGGUACCGUGCGAAUAAGGGCAGGCUAAUACCGUGCCAGCAGCCGCGGUGAUACGGAAGGCCCGAGCGUUAUCCGGAUUCGUUGGGCUUAAAGGGAGCGUAGGCGGGCGUUCAAGUCAGCUGUAAAAUCGCGCGGCUCAGCCGCGCCCCGCAGUGGAGACUGGAAGACUGGAGUUCACAACAGGCAGGCGGAAUUCGUGGUGUAGCGGUGAAAUGCAUAGAUAUCACGAGGAACCCCGAUGGCGAAGGCAGCCUGCCGGGGUGCGACUGACGCUGAGGCUCGAAGGUGCGGGUAUCAAACAGGAUUAGAUACCCCAGUAGUC
rnacentral:rRNA from 1 species